AACUGUAAAAUAAUCUAACUUUGUAGUGGUGGCUUGCCUAAGGUGAAUGAGUGUCGAGGAUCCCGGUCUUGGCAUUCGCCUGCAAGGCUAGAACGGAUCUAGACAGUUAAAUCUAAUUACAUCUAAAAUUAACCAAGAAUAUAAUUAAUUUACAAAUUUUAAUAAAAUAAUUAAAACUCUAAGCAACUAAACCCUAACCGAAGCCAAACCUAAAAUAAACCUUAAGCUAACUCUAACCAAACCC
rnacentral:lncRNA from 1 species